rnacentral:tRNA from 1 species
GGUGGUAUGACUCUGUGGUAGAGUGUUUGCCUAGCAUGCAUAAAACCUGAGUUCAAUUCCCUAUAGCACAA